CUCCAGCUCAAAGGAUCUUCGCAGCCAUCAAAGAACACUGCUUUCAAUUUACGAAUAACCGUUCAAUCAUCGCCGCUAAUCAAGUGUUUCAAACAGGGAGCGAACGCCAAAUGGAAAUUGUUGCCUCCGGUGGCCAGCUUUUGGGUACAGCUUCCCCCCAGGCAGGAGGCCCCAUAAAUCACUUGCAAAUUACCAGGGAAUCGGGAAAAUCCCGGGCAGGGGGGAGGAGGCGGUGGCCAAGAGAAUCCAUCCUAGCCACAGCCAUUUCUCAGCGCCUAUAAUAAGCAAGUGAAUGCGAAUGUGCCUAUGAAUGUGACUGUGAAUGCACAAUUAUGGCCGCUUCGUUGGUCGUAAAACAAGAAGGGAACCGCUGCCCUUUGGCCCGCCCCCUAGCCAUUCCUGAAUCCACCAUCUUUCACCCAGUUUUCCCCCACAUUUUCCACCGCUGACGACUUUGUCAUGGUUUCCUUUGCCUCCAGUUGCACAGGCAAAGUCAGCGGCAGCGACAUCAAUAAAAUAAACACUGACAGUGGGUGGUGUGGGUCGGUGGGUUGGAAAUCACUGGGUGGUGCUGGCCGGGAAGCCCGAACAGGCUGGGCCAACACAAUUGAACACGCGACAUUUGGCCAAUGCUUGCUGUUUGCUAUCCACUGUCGUCGUCUCCACUUUGACUUUUAUCUAUUGACAUAAUAUUUUUUUAUGCUCUUGCAGCUGGAGGCGCCGAGUUUUUGGGGGCGUGUCAAGU
ensembl:ncRNA lncRNA:CR44767 long non-coding RNA:CR44767